rnacentral:rRNA from 1 species
GAUCAUGGCUCAAGACGAACGCUGGCGGCAUGCCUAACACAUGCAAGUCGAACGAGACCUUCGGGUCUAGUGGCGCACGGGUGCGUAACGCGUGGGAAUCUGCCCUUAGGUUCGGAAUAACUUCGGGAAACUGAAGCUAAUACCGGGUGAUGACGUAAGUCCAAAGAUUUAUCGCCUAAGGAUGAGCCCGCGUUGGAUUAGCUAGUUGGUGAGGUAAAGGCUCACCAAGGCGACGAUCCAUAGCUGGUCUGAGAGGAUGAUCAGCCACACUGGGACUGAGACACGGCCCAGACUCCUACGGGAGGCAGCAGUGGGGAAUAUUGGACAAUGGGCGAAAGCCUGAUCCAGCAAUGCCGCGUGAGUGUUGAAGGCCUUAGGGUUGUAAAGCUCUUUUACCCGGGAUGAUAAUGACAGUACCGGGAGAAUAAGCUCCGGCUAACUCCGUG